GACGAACGCUGGCGGCGUGCUUAACACAUGCAAGUCGAACGGAAAGGCCCUGCUUUUGUGGGGUGCUCGAGUGGCGAACGGGUGAGUAACACGUGAGUAACCUGCCCUUGACUUUGGGAUAACUUCAGGAAACUGGGGCUAAUACCGGAUAGGAGCUCCUGCUGCAUGGUGGGGAUUGGAAAGUUUCGGCGGUUGGGGAUGGACUCGCGGCUUAUCAGCUUGUUGGUGGGGUAGUGGCUUACCAAGGCUUUGACGGGUAGCCGGCCUGAGAGGGUGACCGGCCACAUUGGGACUGAGAUACGGCCCAGACUCCUACGGGAGGCAGCAGUGGGGAAUAUUGCACAAUGGGCGGAAGCCUGAUGCAGCAACGCCGCGUGCGGGAUGACGGCCUUCGGGUUGUAAACCGCUUUCGCCUGUGACGAAGCGUGAGUGACGGUAAUGGGUAAAGAAGCACCGGCUAACUAUGUG
rnacentral:rRNA from 1 species